rnacentral:lncRNA from 1 species
UUUGUCUCUUUUUGUGCAUUAAGAUUGUUGUUUUCUUCUAUAAUUUUGAUAAGAAUCUUAUAUUCAAAUGAACUUCUUGAAAAAAAUAAAUUAUACCAACUCAACGAAAUAGAAAUCGAAUCAUCUCAAUAAAUAUAUAUGACGCCAUAUAUAUCUUUUCGUCCAUCAACCCUAUCACCAUCCCUAGAAGGGAGAAGAAAUUUGCUAGAAUUGAUUGGAUCAGAAACAAUUAUAGAACUUAGCCAGAUAUAUAGUCUUGAUAAUGCCAUUGUUUAGGACCUUGAGAGGUACAGAAGUCAACACUUUGAGAAUCAUCAUGAAUUAAAACAAAUACUCAACGAGAUGAUCAUGUCUGCAAGAGGACACAAAUACCCAUUAAUUAAAAAGAGCGUGCGAGGACGAUUGUAUCUUCUUCUCUUUCCCCCCUUCUCUUCAAAUUGCAGAGAACAACAGUGGAGGGUAUGGUAAUGGGAAGGUGGGGUCCAGAGGGGCUUUUGUCUCCUUCGAACCCUUCAUUCGAAACAGGAAAAAUUGUAUGGAUAUACAUGAGAUAGUAUUGUUGUUGUUCUUGUUGGUUAUUACAGAAGUAACAGUUUGGUUUGGUUUGGUUUGGUUUGGAGGGUAUGUAUGUAUGGACUCAUGGAUGGUGUCUGUGGCCUUGCCUCUGGCGAUUGGCAACGUGACUGGGCAUUCUGCAAUUUGUGGAGUCCUGGUUUUAGGGUUCUCUCGCGUGACAGGCGUGGCCCUACUACACAAAAAACAUGCUUUGAUGAUGGUGAUGGUGUAGAUAGGGGUGCGAGGUGUCCCAUGCCCACGCGUUCUUUUGUCUCAAUUUCCGCCCUUAACGGUCGCUCUUUCUUCUCUGUGAUUCUCUUUUUCUUUGACGGUUUCGUCCCUUUCUUUUCAGCUAAAGACAAGAAUAUCUCCCUGCCCCGCCCUCCCUCCCU